rnacentral:rRNA from 1 species
UACGGAGGGGGCAAGCGUUAUUCGGAAUUAUUGGGCGUAAAGGGCUCGUAGGCGGUUUGUCGCGUCGGGAGUGAAAACCAGGUGCUUAACACCUGGCUUGCUUUCGAUACGGGCAGACUAGAGGUAUUCAGGGGAGAACGGAAUUCCUGGUGUAGCAGUGAAAUGCGUAGAUAUCAGGAGGAAUACCGAUGGCGAAGGCAGGUCUCUGGGCUGACACUGACGCUCAUGCACGAAAGCGUGGGGAGCAAACAGG